CUUUCGCUGGCGACCGGCGCACGGGUGAGUAACACGUAUCCAACCUGCCCUUUACUCGGGGAUAGCCUUUCGAAAGAAAGAUUAAUACCCGAUAGCAUAAUGAUUCCGCAUGGUUUCAUUAUUAAAGGAUUCCGGUAAAGGAUGGGGAUGCGUUCCAUUAGGUUGUUGGUGAGGUAACGGCUCACCAAGCCUUCGAUGGAUAGGGGUUCUGAGAGGAAGGUCCCCCACAUUGGAACUGAGACACGGUCCAA
rnacentral:rRNA from 1 species